AUUGAACGCUGGCGGCAGGCCUAACACAUGCAAGUCGAACGAGUGGCGGACGGGUGAGUAAUGUAUGGGCAACUGCCUGAUGGAGGGGGAUAACUACUGGAAACGGUAGCUAAUACCGCCUACCUUCGGAUGUGCCGAGAUGGGAUUAGCUAGUAGGUGGGGUAAAGGCGAACCAAGGCGACGAUCCCUAGCUGGUCUGAGAGGAUGACCAGCCACACUGGAACUGAGACACGGUCCAGACUCCUACGGGAGGCAGCAGUGGGGAAUAUUGGACAAUGGGCGCAAGCCUGAUGCAGCCAUGCCGCGUGUAUGAAGAAGGCCUUCGGGUUGUAAAGUACUUUCAGCGGGGAGGCGUUACCCGCAGAAGAAGCACCGGCUAACUCCGUGCCAGCAGCCGCGGUAAUUC
rnacentral:rRNA from 1 species